rnacentral:lncRNA from 1 species
CUAGCAUCUGUGUUUGCCUAGGACACUUUGCAGUGAGAUUGUUCAUCCAAUUCCCAAGAGGAACAGCAGCCCCCACUCAGGGUUAGUCCCUCAGCCCCCUACCCUCUCACCCCAGAGAGCACCACAGAGCUGCAGUGUGCCACUGGCACACUGGUCCUCUGUGCUCCUGGAACGUCCAGACCUCUGUCCCACUCCUUCGCUUUGCAUCCCCUCAGCACCAGGAAGAGCUCAUGUCUGCCUAUAAUGUCCACACUCACUUCCUUGUGGCUUCACAGUGCUCUACAGGGACAGCAAGCAGCUACCUGAGAGCUCUCUCUUCUUGAGCCUCCUAUCAGACCCCAGUGUUUUGCUUGUUGCCCACAUAUCUUCCAGAAGACCCUGAGCCACAGGACCCAGCUGCAC